GCAUCAGUGGUCCAACGGUCAGGAUCCUUGCCUUCCAUUCUCAAUUAUUGAGGACGUUAGCAAGGGGCGGGGGUUCGACUCCCUCCUGAUGCA